rnacentral:rRNA from 1 species
CGCGUGUACUGGUCCGGCCGGGCCUUUCCUUCUGGAGAUCCCCCAUGCCCUUCACUGGGUGUGUGGGGGAACCAGGACUUUUACUUUGAAAAAAUUAGAGUGUUCAAAGCAGGCCUUUGCUCGAAUACUUUAGCAUGGAAUAAUAGAAUAAGACGUGCGGUCCUAUUUUGUUGGUUUCUAGGACCGCUGUAAUGAUUAAUAGGGAUAGUCGGGGGCAUCAGUAUUCAAUUGUCAGAGGUGAAAUUCUUGGAUUUAUUGAAGAGUAACUACUGCGAAAGCAUUUGCCAAGGAUGUUUUCAUUAAUCAGUGAACGAAAGUUAGGGGAUCGAAGACGAUCAUAUACCGUCGUAGUCUUAACCGUAAACUAUGCCGACUAGGGAUCGGGCGAUGUUUCUUUCUUGACUCGCUCGGCACCUUACGAGAAAUCAAAGUUUUUGGGUUCUGGGGGGAGUAUGGUCGCAAGGCUGAAACUUAAAGAAAUUGACGGAAGGGCACCCCCAGGCGUGGGAGCCUGCGGCUUAAUUUGACUCAACACGGGGAAACUCACCAGGUCCAGAUGAAAUAAGGAUUGACAGAUUGAGAGCUCUUUCUUGAUUUUUCAGGUGGUGGUGCAUGGCCGUUCUUAGUUGGUGGAGUGAUUUGUCUGCUUAAUUGCGAUAACGAACGAGACCUCAACCUCCUAAAUAGCCAGCCUAGCUUUGGCUGGUCGCCGGCUUCUUAGAGGGACUAUCGG